UACGGGAGGCAGCAGUGGGGGAUAUUGCACAAUGGGGGGAACCCUGACCCAGCAACGCCGCGUGAGGGAAGAAGGUUUUCGGAUCGUAAACCUCUGUCCUUGGUGAAGAGGAAGAGACGGUAGCCAAGGAGGAAGCCCCGGCUAACUACGUGCCAGCAGCCGCGGUAAU
rnacentral:rRNA from 1 species